UUUGAGUGUUGAGGUGUCUCAGUGUGUUCAGGUAAACGUGUUUGAGUGUUGAGGUGUCUCAGUGUGUUUCAGGUAAACGUGUUUGAGUGUCUCAGUGUGUUCAGGUAAAAGUGUGGUUGAGUGUUGAGUGUCUCAGUGUGUUCAGGUAAACGUGUUUGAGUGUUGAGGUCUCAGUGUGUUCAGGUAAACGUGUUUGAGUGUUGAGUGUCUCAGUGUGUUCAGGUAAACGUGUUUGAGUGUUGAGGUCUCAGUGUGUUCAGGUAAACGUGUUUGAGUGUUGAGGUGUCUCAGUGUGCUCAGGUAAACGUGUUUGAGUG